rnacentral:misc_RNA from 1 species
GAUGAAGAACUCAGUGAAAUGCGAUAAUUAAUGUGAAUUGCAGAAUUCAGUGAAUCAUCGAGUCUUUGAACGCACAUUGCGCCCCCUGGUAUUCCGGGGGGCAUGCCUGUCCGAGCGUCAUUGCUGCCCUCAAGCACGGCUUGUGUGUUGGGCUUCCGUCCCUGGCAACGGGGACGGGCCCAAAAGGCAGUGGCGGCACCAUGUCUGGUCCUCGAGCGUAUGGGGCUUUGUCACCCGCUCCCGUAGGUCCAGCUGGCAGCUAGCCUCGCAACCAAUCUUUUUAACCAGGUUGACCUCGGAUCAGGUAGGGAUACCCGCUGAACUUAAGCAUAUCAAUAAGCGGAGGA